ACCACCGCCUCAGCUCCCGCACAGCUUUCUGGGAAGUGUAGUUGCGGAGAGGUGGCGAUGCCUACGGACCUAGCCGAGGGAUCCCCUCCGAAAGGCACAAUCGCUCGCAGGCAAGGAGCGAUCGGAGCCUCGGAACAUCGUCUUCCAACCCCUCUGCACACAUCCUUUGUGCCACUAGUCCGUUCUUCCGAGAUUACGGCACGCACCCGAGCCCCAAACCUCUCUCUGCCCAAGAUGCCCCUCUAAAGCCGUGCAUCCGCCAGCUGGCUGGCGCCCCUUCCUGGGCUGGCGGCCACGAAGUGACUCCGCUCCCCUGUAGCUCGAAUAGGGAAUCCUGAGGUCCCAAGACAGAUGCCUCUUCUCAUCCUACCUGAGGACUCGGUUCAGUGCCACCAAAGGAAUGCUGCCACCAAGACUGCCAUAUCCCUGCCCUUGGAAUUAAGAUUCACCUCCUGCCAUAACCACCUAAGCCCCAGGAGCAAGAGGAAAAGAACUUGAAACCACUCUUCUCUCACACACACUGCUAUGAGAUAACACACUGGUCAUAAAGAGCAAAGACGGAGUACCUGAGAGCAGGGGGAUUUCUGGAGCUGCUGGAAAUGGUGAUGGUCGUUCUUUGCCCUCUACCUCCUUCCUCCUGCCCUUGUGUCUCUUUGAAAAGACAGAAUAAUCUUCCCACUCUGUUGCUGACUGGUUUACUGAUUAUAAUCCCAUGUCAACCCAAAGAACACUACCCACCAGGGUGCUCAAUGUGCAAGAACACAGGUUCUCUCCCCUAGUCCUACUUCACCAUCUGUUGGUGCUAUGGACCCUGAAACUGUCCAUUCAAAA